rnacentral:rRNA from 1 species
ACGGCGAGUGAAGCGGCAAAAGCUCAAAUUUGAAAUCUGCGUAAGCCGAGUUGUAAUUUGAAGAUGGCUACUUUGGUAAUGGCUCUUGUCUAUGUUCCUUGGAACAGGACGUCACAGAGGGUGAGAAUCCCGUGCGAUGAGAUGUCCAUUACCGUGUAAAGUGCUUUCGAAGAGUCGAGUUGUUUGGGAAUGCAGCUCUAAGUGGGUGGUAAAUUCCAUCUAAAGCUAAAUAUUGGCGAGAGACCGAUAGCGAACAAGUACAGUGAUGGAAAGAUGAAAAGAACUUUGAAAAGAGAGUGAAAAAGUACGUGAAAUUGUUGAAAGGGAAGGGCUUGAGAUCAGACUUGGUAUUUUGUAUGGCUUGCUUUCGGGCGGGUCCUCUGCAGUUUACUGGGCCAGCAUCGGUUUGGGUGGCAGGAUAAUAGCAUAGGAAUGUGGCUCUACUUCGGUGGAGUGUUAUAGCCUUUGUUGAUACUGCCUGCCU